CUGGAAAAUACCUCAGCUGGUAGAGCAUGAGACUCUUAAUCUCAAGGUCAUAGGUUCGAGCCCCAUGUUCGAGA